rnacentral:rRNA from 1 species
GGAGUCUGGGCCGUGUCUCAGUCCCAAUGUGGCCGUUCAACCUCUCAGUCCGGCUACUGAUCGUCGCCAUGGUGAGCCGUUACCUCACCAUCUAGCUAAUCAGACGCGAGCCCAUCUUUGAGUGAUAAAUCUUUGGUAUCAAGAUCAUGCGGUCUCAAUACGUUAUGAGGUAUUACCAUCCGUUUCCAGAAGCUAUCCCUCUCUCAAAGGCAGGUUGCUCACGUGUUACUCACCCGUCCGCCACUAAGAUAAUCUAAGUAAACUUAAAUUAUCUCCGUUCGACUUGCAUGUGUUAAGCGUGCCGCCAGCGUUCGUCCUCGAGCCAGGAUCAAACUCU